rnacentral:rRNA from 1 species
CAGUAGCCGCGGGAAUACGGAGGGUGCAAGCGUUAAUCGGAAUUACUGGGCGUAAAGCGCACGUAGGCGGUUGUUAAGUCAGAUGUGAAAUCCCCGAGCUUAACUUGGGAACUGCAUUUGAAACUGGCAAGCUAGAGUCUUGUAGAGGGGGGUAGAAUUCCAGGUGUAGCGGUGAAAUGCGUAGAGAUCUGGAGGAAUACCGGUGGCGAAGGCGGCCCACUGGACAUGUAUUGACGCUGAGGUGCGAAAGCGUGGGGAGCAAACAGGAUUAGAUACCCCUGUAGUCCCUGUCUCUUAUACA